AGAUUGAACGCUGGCGGCAGGCCUAACACAUGCAAGUCGAGCGGUAGAGAGGUGCUUGCAUCUCUUGAGAGCGGCGGACGGGUGAGUAAUGCCUAGGAAUCUGCCUAGUGGUGGGGGAUAACGUUCGGAAACGGACGCUAAUACCGCAUACGUCCUACGGGAGAAAGCGGGGGACCUUCGGGCCUCGCGCCAUUAGAUGAGCCUAGGUCGGAUUAGCUAGUUGGUGAGGUAAUGGCUCACCAAGGCGACGAUCCGUAACUGGUCUGAGAGGAUGAUCAGUCACACUGGAACUGAGACACGGUCCAGACUCCUACGGGAGGCAGCAGUGGGGAAUAUUGGACAAUGGGCGAAAGCCUGAUCCAGCCAUGCCGCGUGUGUGAAGAAGGUCUUCGGAUUGUAAAGCAUUAAGUUGGAGGAAGGUUGUAACCUAAUACGUUGCAACUUUGACGUUACCGACUAGAAUAAGCACCGGCUAACUCGUGCCAG
rnacentral:rRNA from 1 species